UGAGGAAUUUUGCGCAAUGGGAGCAAUCCUGACGCAGCAACGCCGCGUGGGUGAUGAAGGCCUUCGGGUCGUAAAGCCCUGUCAGGUGGGAAGAAUGUCCCGGAACUGAACAGGUUUCGGGAGUGACGGUACCACCAGAGGAAGCACCGGCUAACUCCGUGCCAGCAGCCGCGGUAAUACGGAGGGUGCAAGCGUUAUUCGGACUUACUGGGCGUAAAGCGCGUGUAGGCGGUCCUGCAAGUCUGAUGUGAAAGCCCCGGGCUUAACCCGGGAAGUGCAUUGGAAGCUGCAGGUCGUGAGUACUGGAGAGGAUGGGGGAAUUCCCGGUGUAGAGGUGAAAUUCGUAGAGAUCGGGAGGAAUAUCAGUGGCGAAGGCGCCCAUCUGGACGGUAACUGACGCUGAGACGCGAAAGCGUGGGGAGCAAACA
rnacentral:rRNA from 1 species